rnacentral:tRNA from 1 species
GCGUGCGUAGCUCAAUGGUGGAGCGACCGACUGUGCAUCGGAGGGUUGUGGGUUCGAGUCCCAUCGCACGCC